UUACGGCCAUAUCGAGUUGAGACACCGACUCUCCUAGUAUCACCGAAGUUAAGCAAUAUCGAACUUGGUCAGUACCUAGAUGGGUGACCGCUUGGGAAUAUCAGGUGUUGUAUG